GAUGAAGAACGUAGCGAAAUGCGAUACGUAAUGUGAAUUGCAGAAUUCAGUGAAUCAUCGAAUCUUUGAACGCAUAUUGCGCUCUCUGGUAUUCCGGAGAGCAUGCUUGUUUUAGUAUCAGUAAACACCUCAACUUCCAUAUCUUUUUUGAAAUGGGAGUUGGACUUGAGUGAUCCCAACGCUUUUCCUCACCGAAAAGUGGCGGGUUACUUGAAAUGCAGGUGCAGCUGGACUUUUCUCUGAGCUAUAAGCAUAUCUAUUUAGUCUGCCUAAAAACAGAUUAUUACCUUUGCUGCAGCUAACAUAAAGGAGAUUAGUUCUUGUGCUGACUGAUGCAGGAUUCACAAAGACAGGCUUCGGCCGACUUUGUAAACUCGAUCUCAAAUCAAGUAAGACUACCCGCUGAACUUAAGCAUAUCAAUAAGCGGAGGA
rnacentral:misc_RNA from 1 species